rnacentral:tRNA from 1 species
GCCGGGGUAGCGUAGCCAGGUAGCGCGCCAGACUCGAGAUCUGGUGGCCCUUACGGGUCACAAGGGUUCAAAUCCCUUCCCCGGCG